GAUCCUGGCUCAGAUUGAACGCUGGCGGCAGGCUUAACACAUGCAAGUCGAGCGGGGAAGAGUAGCUUGCUACUUAACCUAGCGGCGGACGGGUGAGUAAUGCUUAGGAAUCUGCCUAUUAGGUGGGGACAACAUCUCGAAAGGGAUGCUAAUACCGCAUACGUCCUACGGGAGAAAGCAGGGGACCUUCGGGCCUUGCGCUAAUAGAUGAGCCUAAGUCGGAUUAGCUAGUUGGUGGGGUAAAGG
rnacentral:rRNA from 1 species